UUAGUCAAAUCAUGUCUCCCCUAAUCACGCCUCCAUCGGCUCCAAGUUCGUCUUCUUCAUUUUGGAAACCAGAUGCCUAUUCAAAUUUAAAAUAAACCUUCUAUUCCUCCAUCAAUUUUUCUCCCGAAAUCAAAGAUAACAUAGAAUAUGAAUGCUGCCAAGAUUUUAAACCAUUUCAAGAUUUCAUCGUUUCAUAUGCAACAAUCGAACACAGCUACGGUCUCGCAGUUCUGAAUUAGAUUUCAAUGGGUUCUAUUGUGAAAUCAGAGGAGGGAUGGCGUGCAGUUCUAUUUUGAAUGGGAAGCUUCAUAUCAUUACACCAAGGAAGAUUCGGACAAAAUCGGAAAAGAUCGGAAAGAAAAAUCAUAAUACACUUAAAUCUUGAUGGGCAAAAUCAAAGUAGAUGAACAUUGAAUCAUAAAUCUAGUUAUGAUUCUCUUAUUAAGAUUAUAAAUGUGUGAAAACAGUUGCGAAAGGUAACUAGGAAAUCCUUCCUCUCUCUCUCUCUCACACACACUCUCUUCUGAUUGCACAGUUCACAACGGUUUUCAGAGCGAUUUCCGUUUGCGAGGUUUAUAGUGAUCGCUUGGUUGGUCGAAUAUGUUAGAGUCUGGGAUUGUGAUAAUCAAAUAACUUGGUUACUGAGAGGAUUUGAUAGACACUUCCCUUAAACUACAUUUUCACACUAUAUGCCUGAGUUGCACGGAAUUAUUUUAGGAUAAUGCAUACAAAUCAAUUAACUUCAAGUUUAGGCACAAAACUUGAAGUCCUUGCUAUAUUUGUGUAAAUUUAUGUAUAAAAUUAGUAUUUACAAUAAUAAUUUUGCAAUGGUUGAUCUCAUAUCCUAGCAUCUUUGAUAUUGUCUAACAACUCUUUCAGUCUUCCCAACAGUAAGAAUCUGUCAGAUUGCUUGGUAUGCUUUCUUUUAUCCCCUUAACUUCUUAACAUGUGGUUAUGGUUAUGAAUCACAAGGAUAUUAUUGAGAAGACGAUUGCUUAGGGAUAUUACUAUCGUGAACUUGAUCGAUUUGCCACCAAGUCACAAAAUUUAAGCUGGAUGGGGCCUAGGAAUGAGUCUCCUAUGCCAUACACUUCUGUCUUUCCAAAAGAGAAGAUGGAGAAUCAGAGUGUUUAUAGGAGGCCAAUUGCAAAUUGCAUUACAUAAAUUCUUUCGUUUUACAAAUCUGCCAUUUUGCAUAUAGAGCAGAAGUUACUAUCAGAUCAUCUACCCAUCUUAGCAACUGCUAAUGUGUUGUUCCAGGAUAUGUUGCCAGAAUAUACUCCAUUACAUAUGGCAGAAUCCAUUCUAUUUGCUGGAAAGGAAAUUAAGGUUCUUCGUAAUCCAAGUUCUGCAUUCCGUUCGGUAGAUGCAACACAUACAAAACUGAUGGGCGAUGAACUUCUGCGAUAGUCUGAAGCUGAUAAGAUCGAAUCCAUGCUUCAAAAUCUGAAGGAAUCAUCCAAGUUUCACAAAAGAUCAUUUGAGGAUGCUGUUGAUUCGAUCAGGGCUAUUGCAGCAAGUCAUCUUUGGCAGCUUGUGGUUGUAUGUGAUGAUCUAAAUGGGCAUUUGAAGGCCAUCAAAGAUUACUUCCUGCUUGCAAAAGGUGAUUUCUUCCAGGAUUCAACAAAAUGUGUGUUGUAGUUCUGAGAUAGGAUCCGGGAUUUAAUCGGGUAACUGUUGAGUGAAAGACCGAGGUUUGAAAACCCAAGUUUCUUUCAAUUUACUUUUGUGCUCUUUUAAUUCAUUUAUUUGAUUUAUACACUAGAAAAUGGAGUACUUUAUUUCCUCUUGGAAUAUUUUUCUAUUUUUUAUUUAAUUUUAUGAGAA